rnacentral:rRNA from 1 species
AAAUUGAAGAGUUUGAUCAUGGCUCAGAUUGAACGCUGGCGGCAGGCCUAACACAUGCAAGUCGAGCGGUAGCACAGAGAGCUUGCUCUCGGGUGACGAGCGGCGGACGGGUGAGUAAUGUCUGGGAAACUGCCUGAUGGAGGGGGGAUAACUACUGGAAACGGUAGCUAAUACCGCAUAACGUCGCAAGACCAAAGUGGGGGACCUUCGGGCCUCAUGCCAUCAGAUGUGCCCAGAUGGGAUUAGCUAGUAGGUGGGGUAACGGCUCACCUAGGCGACGAUCCCUAGCUGGUCUGAGAGGAUGACCAGCCACACUGGAACUGAGACACGGUCCAGACUCCUACGGGAGGCAGCAGUGGGGAAUAUUGCACAAUGGGCGCAAGCCUGAUGCAGCCAUGCCGCGUGUGUGAAGAAGGCCUUCGGGUUGUAAAGCACUUUCAGCGGGGAGGAAGGCGUUAAGGUUAAUAACCUUGGCGAUUGACGUUACCCGCAGAAGAAGCACCGGCUAACUCCGUGCCAGCAGCCGCGGUAAUACGGAGGGUGCAAGCGUUAAUCGGAAUUACUGGGCGUAAAGCGCACGCAGGCGGUCUGUCAAGUCGGAUGUGAAAUCCCCGGGCUCAACCUGGGAACUGCAUUCGAAACUGGCAGGCUAGAGUCUUGUAGAGGGGGGUAGAAUUCCAGGUGUAGCGGUGAAAUGCGUAGAGAUCUGGAGGAAUACCGGUGGCGAAGGCGGCCCCCUGGACAAAGACUGACGCUCAGGUGCGAAAGCGUGGGGAGCAAACAGGAUUAGAUACCCUGGUAGUCCACGCCGUAAACGAUGUCGAUUUGGAGGUUGUGCCCUUGAGGCGUGGCUUCCGGAGCUAACGCGUUAAAUCGACCGCCUGGGGAGUACGGCCGCAAGGUUAAAACUCAAAUGAAUUGACGGGGGCCCGCACAAGCGGUGGAGCAUGUGGUUUAAUUCGAUGCAACGCGAAGAACCUUACCUGGUCUUGACAUCCACAGAACUUAGCAGAGAUGCUUUGGUGCCUUCGGGAACUGUGAGACAGGUGCUGCAUGGCUGUCGUCAGCUCGUGUUGUGAAAUGUUGGGUUAAGUCCCGCAACGAGCGCAACCCUUAUCCUUUGUUGCCAGCGGUUAGGCCGGGAACUCAAAGGAGACUGCCAGUGAUAAACUGGAGGAAGGUGGGGAUGACGUCAAGUCAUCAUGGCCCUUACGACCAGGGCUACACACGUGCUACAAUGGCAUAUACAAAGAGAAGCGACCUCGCGAGAGCAAGCGGACCUCAUAAAGUAUGUCGUAGUCCGGAUUGGAGUCUGCAACUCGACUCCAUGAAGUCGGAAUCGCUAGUAAUCGUAGAUCAGAAUGCUACGGUGAAUACGUUCCCGGGCCUUGUACACACCGCCCGUCACACCAUGGGAGUGGGUUGCAAAAGAAGUAGGUAGCUUAACCUUCGGGAGGGCGCUUACCACUUUGUGAUUCAUGACUGGGGUGAAGUCGUAACAAGGUAACCGUAGGGGAACCUGCGGUUGGAUCACCUCCUUA